CUAUGGCCACCUUCUAUUUCGGUGAUUUUUUUUAGUCGAUAGUAAUGGCAACGUUCCGUUUCCGUGAUUGUUCUUUUCAUCUCUCAUUCUGCUCUUUUAUUCUUCACGAUCGGAAGCCACACACACUUGCAUUGUGACCUAGUUUUCGAAGCGUUCAAGUAGCUAAACAUCUGUAGGAUUCCUUGUGUUCAUUCUUCAAUUUAAUUUUCGG